CAUGCACAGUCAUGUCACAGGUAGUCACACCCUCUCACUCACAUCCUCCCAGGCACACUCACAAUCAAGCCUUCACACGCACAACAGUCACACCCUCACAUGCAGUCACACCCAUAUGCACACUCAUGCACACUCACAUCCUCCCAUGCAGUCACUCGCACGGGCAGUCACACAUUCACUCUCACAUGCACACAGUCACACUCUCAUGCAGUCACACCUGCACAUGCACACAGUCACACCUGCACUGUCACACCCAUACGUGCACUCAGUCACACCCUCAUAUGCAGUCACACCCUCACAUGCACACUCAUGCACACUCACAUCCUCCCAUGCAGUCACUCGCACGUGCAGUCACACAUUCACUCUCACAUGCAGUCACACUCUCAUGCACUCAGUCACACCUUCACAUGCACACUCAGUCACACCCUCACAUGCACACUCAUGCACUCAUAUCCUCCCAUGCAGUCACACCUGCACAUGCAGUCACACAUUCACUCUCACAUGCAGUCACACCCUCUCGUGCACACUCAGUGACACCUUCACAUGCACAGUCACACCUGCACUGUCACACCCACACAUGCACACUCAGUCACAUCCUCUCAUGCACUCAUAUACACAAUCACACCCUCCCAUGCACAAAGGCACUCACAAUCACAUCCUCCCAUACUCACCCACACACAGACCCCUGCCAUGGCUCCUGGCCCAGUCCUCUAUGUGGUACGUGUGCCCCCAAAAUCCCCAACCAAAUGAUGCCCCCAAUUCUGUGGAGCUCAGAUUACCACUUCCCUGACCCUCAGCCAAGCACAGACAGGACCCACACACAGUGAGGUAAACUCACAGGCCUCAGAAGCCUCCCUGAGCCCGGCCACAGGGUCUCCCAGGCCUAUGGCACCCACCCAGG
rnacentral:lncRNA from 1 species